CUUAAUUUAAAGGUCAUAGGUCGCAGGGCGACUCAGAAAUGCAAAAUUAAAAAUUAAUCUUGCAUUCAAUUUUAACGGUAUUAUAUAUUAUCGUUAAAACGCUGUGCAUAAACAUUUCAUUUUUGUUUAGAAGCUCAAAUGUUAGAUUCUGACUGUGGUUUAAAAAUUAUCAUCCACCUGUACGCAUGCAUGAUUUUCAUAUUUUGGGAUUUUUCCUGGUCGCUUAUGUCAAGAGUAAAAAACUGAACAAAUGUUUGUGGCCAAUGCAUACAUACAAAUUGUAGGUUCCCAGUCUCAGUGUGCAGCACAAAACUCUAACCAGAUAUUAUUCCUAUAUACCAAUACUCGACUCUGCAUUUACUUCCGUCACGCUGAGCGCAAAUGACUAUGGGAUAGAGAUAGGUCGGGAGAUUUUAACGUCUAACCGCUUCGGCUUGCAGGGCAAAACAACUUCUGGUAUUAAUUAAGUAGCUCGUGCGCUGGGAUAUUUUUGCUGUUUGUUGUUUUAACAUCAUCCAUGGAUCGGCGAUUUUUAUUACGCAGUCUCUGGUCCCUUUUCUAAAGUUAGACACAGCUCGUAAGCAAACAUUCCAAGACCAAAUGUUCAAAGCUGAAAAGGUGUACAAAUUCUUCUUUGGGAAGUAUAUUUUUAACUACAAAGCACAAUGAAGAUGAAGAGUGCACCACCUGCUGUGGGCUGUAAGAGUUCUCUUCAGAUGUGUCAUAGACCCAGAACACAGAGUCUGUUGACAAACUGGUUGUGAGAAAGCCAAAGACAUCUGGCACAAGUGGUGUAAAAUCAACACUGUACAGAGCAUAUCCAGGACCCCUUCCAGAUAAUCUUGUGUUAUCUGUGGGAUCUAACCUCAGCAGUGUCAGACCACAACCCCAGAUUUAAAAAAUUGUUCAUGGUUUGGCUGGAAUUAUAAUGGUGGAAUUCAAAUUUGCAGUUCUGUGCUUUCAUACCAGUGCCCACCGAUUGCGAGUGCUGAGAUUACCAGGCAUCCAGAUGCACCAUUGUUUCCACACCUCCCAUUAACUGGAUAUAGUUUUUAAAAUAUUUUGUUUGUCCUAAAUUGCCAGCAGUUCUAUAAUUUUGAAUGUAUCAAGUUAACUCACAAAUUAUGAUUAAUAAUUCUGAAGGCUACUCGAGAACAGUCCAACUUCCCACUCUGGGUCAGUAUGCGUCAGCCAUGAGUUACAUCGAGCAGAUUUCAUGAAGCUUGUCAUGCUCAGGGAGAAUCCUCUAGCCAAUCUCUUGCAGCUAGGAUUAUUAAGGGAACUCAGAAGACAGGUGCAAUGAAAAGGGGACUUGAACUGAGCCAGGAAUCUUACAGCAGUGUGCGGGCAUGUUUAAUGUGAAUGUCCUACCUUGUGGUUUGAUAGUGCACCCAGAUGCUCCACAUGUUGGGACCAGCCCGGAAAAGUGUGUGAUCCUACUGUAUACCCUCCCUUUGGUCUUGUGGAGGUAAAAUGCCCAAAUAUAGAGAAUGUUUCGGAUGUAACAUACAUCAAGAUUAUUGAUGGUCAGGCAAAACUAAAGAAAACACACAAGUACUACUGGCAAGUUCAAGGACAGACAGCUGGCUGUUAUUGGCCUUGCAUGGUGUGACUUUGUCACAGGCACCAAAAGUGACCUUACUCUAGAGCAUGUUGUUAGAGAUGAUGCCCUAAUUAAAGUAAUGAAGGAUAAGCUUGAUGUAUUUUACAACAAAAAAACUACUUAGUCUGGUCUAAAAGACACACUGAUAAUUAUAAUGUAGUGUAAUCAUUUGUAGUGUAAAAUUAAUUUAAUCUAAUUGUUUGCAGUUCCCAUUUGUAAAAUAAGCCAUAAAAAGUAAUGUGAUUUUUUAAAAAUUGUAAUAAUAAAACAACUUUAAACUUCA